rnacentral:lncRNA from 1 species
UUGAAACCAAGUUGGAGUAGCCACUGUCUCUGGAAGCCACUGCCGCUAGGUCAGAGAUGCAAAAUCGGAAUGGACAUGGUAGAGAUGAGCAGGAUUUUGGAGCACCAAGAAGAUGGCAGGGUCUGGCUUCAGGUUUUGGAGGAAUAGGUGUAGCUGUACUUAAGAUCUGAGCAAAACACAAAUUUUGGAAUUCCUUGUGGAAGAACAGGCAGCUCUUGGGGCAGUGUGUGUCUGCAGCUGACUUAUCUGUGGGUGAGGACAGCCGCUGGGGAGCAGGUCAGACAAAUUGCUAUGUGAAUUCUGCCAGCAUCAGAGACACUGAAAUAUCUCCGGGUAAUGGAGGCAAGCACAACUGUUUGGUUUGGUUUGGUUUGGUUUUUUCUGGAUGGAGAACUGAGGUGUGAGCAGUGCUGGUGGUCAGAAGAGAGAAGGAGAUGGGUGGUCAGGAGAGAAGGAGGUGUUCAUAUAGCCAUUGUACAAAGUACAAAGCAUCUAGCCAUUAACGAAGCAUCUCCAGUGACAUAUUGUCCUAACCUCUGAAUAUUGCUAAGGUGAAUUCCUAUCCCUGGCUGACAUUUAUAUUAAACUAUUUGCAGUAUGUAUUCCUGAAUAAAAGUCCUGAAUAAAAUCA